GCAAGCGUUGCCAUCGCAACGGUCAGUUAAUAAAUUAUGCGCCACUACUAAAACAUCAUAUCCACCAAAUUGCACGUGUGUUACAUGUUAGUCAAAAUUUAAGUGUGAAAUUUGUGAAGGAUUUAAAUUUCUGUUUGAGAUGAGUUGUUCAGAUAAACGGCGCUCGUUGCUGUACAAGCUGAAGACGCUCGUCGAUCAGAUUGACGAUAGAUGUUGCGCACCUUGCGGGCCGUGUGGCCCUUGCAAUCCGUGUGGCCCAUGCAAUCCUUGUGGGCCUUGUGGUCCAUGCGGACCAUGUAAUCCGUGCGGAUCAGGUGGACCUUGCCAACCGUGCGGUCCCUGCGGUCCCUGUGGACCUUGUGGACCAUGUGGACAGUGUCCACCACCACCUCAAUGUCAGCCGUGUGGCCCUUGUGGACCCUGUGGGCCGUGCGGUCCUUGUGGACCUUGCGGUCCCUGCGGACCUUGCCCAUCAAAUGGGCCGCCCCAAUGCUGUUCUCCAUGCACCGGACCUAUUCCACUGCCACCAUCUAUGAAUUCAAACCCUUGCGGUGGGUGUAAUAUUGGCAGCCCUCCAGUAUGCUUACCACCGGUGUGCCCAGCGCCAUGCUGCAAUAUCUGCACACCCAGUCCUGGCGGCUGUCCAUCGCCAAUGCCUAACUGCUGUCCUGGUAGCUGCCCUCCACCAUGUCCUGCACCUGGUGGCUUCUGCCCGCCAAGUCAAUGUGGUCCACCCUGUUGUAUGCCGUGCCCGCCUUGUGGCGGAGGAAUGCCGAGCUGUGGCCCCCCAAGUUGUGGCCCACCAAGCUGCUGCCCACCACCGACGAAUGGAUCACCUCAAUGCGGACCUUUUUGCGGACCAUUUUGCGGACCCUGCGGGCCCAUGGGACCAACUUGCUCACCGUGCUCACCCAUGUUACCUAUGAACGCGUGCUCGUCACCGUGCGGGCCGUGCGGUCCCUGUGGACCGUGUGGUCCGUGUGGCCCGUGCGGGCCAUGUGGUCCUUGCGGCCCGUGCGGACCUUGCGGACCUUGCGGCCAGCAGUGCGGAGGCGGCGGGCCCUGCGCGUCAAUCAUGCCCUGCCCGCCGUGCGGACCGUGCGGCCCAUGUGGCCCAUGUGGUCCGUGUGGGCCUUGUGGCCCUUGCGGGCCAUGCGGUCCGACUAUGUGCUGUCCGUGUUAGGAUUAUUGUACGUUGAUGUUAUAUUGAUUAUAUCCAAUAAACCCGUACAAAGCAAUAAAAAUAGUCUGCCACCAACUUUUCAAUUCCGUACGCGCUGCAAAAGGGAUGGUAAAGCGAUGGGUCCGCCGGGUUCGCAAGUGGGCCGCAUGGUUCGCCUCGCCACGCAUUGUGUGUGUGUGUAUUGCUUAUACUUUAAAAACAGCACAUCACAGCCGGGCCCGGUAGUACAACAUCACGAUGCCGAAAAACGCAAAAAUGGGACUUUAUCGGGGACGACAAGAUGUCUUCGACGAAUGAAUGGCGCAUGUGCAUCACCCAACCAGUCCCUCAAGAAAUGAAGGCAGGUUUUCAGUAUGAGCAAGUUAAUGUCAGUAAUAAUAGGCACAACCAUAAAUCGGACAAAGCCAGCCUUCGGGCGUCCAAUAGCGAAUCCAAUACUUGCGUGAUAUGCCGACAUUGCAUGAACGUUUUCAAGCGUGACCAGUCGCGAAACUAAAUGGUUGUCAAUAACUAACAUUGACGCCUUCUUCACUAAACAAUUUUCUAGAGAUAAUAAUACAUAUUUAAAUUGUAACCAUCAAAUAAAUUUGACUAACAUUGACGAAA